GACGAACGCUGGCGGCGCGCCUAACACAUGCAAGUCGAACGGAGUUAUUUUCUUCACUCCGAGCUUUUUGCCGGUUAGCCGGAGCGGCAAUCGGUUUUGCCCAGCAUAAAAAGCAAAACCAAUUUAGGCUCAUAAAGUAAGACUAACACAGAGGGCAGAGAGUUGGGAGUGAAGAAAAUAACUUAGUGGCGAACGGGUGAGUAACGCGUGAGUAACCUGCCCUGGAGUGGGGGACAACAGUUGGAAACGACUGCUAAUACCGCAUAAGCCCACGGCCCGGCAUCGGGCUGCGGGAAAAGGAUUUAUUCGCUUCAGGAUGGACUCGCGUCCAAUUAGCUGGUUGGUGAGGUAACGGCCCACCAAGGCGACGAUUGGUAGCCGGACUGAGAGGUUGAACGGCCACAUUGGGACUGAGACACGGCCCAGACUCCUACGGGAGGCAGCAGUGGGGGAUAUUGCACAAUGGGGGAAACCCUGAUGCAGCGACGCCGCGUGGAGGAAGAAGGUUUUCGGAUUGUAAACUCCUGUCGUUAGGGACGAUAAUGACGGUAC
rnacentral:rRNA from 1 species